rnacentral:rRNA from 1 species
CCUACGGGAGGCAGCAGUGGGGAAUAUUGCACAAUGGGCGCAAGCCUGAUGCAGCCAUACCGCGUGUGUGAAGAAGGCCUUCGGGUUGUAAAGCACUUUCAGCGGGGAGGAAGGCGGUGAGGUUAAUAACCUCAUCGAUUGACGUUACCCGCAGAAGAAGCACCGGCUAACUCCGUGCCAGCAGCCGCGGUAAUACGGAGGGUGCAAGCGUUAAUCGGAAUUACUGGGCGUAAAGCGCACGCAGGCGGUCUGUCAAGUCGGAUGUGAAAUCCCCGGGCUCAACCUGGGAACUGCAUUCGAAACUGGCAGGCUAGAGUCUUGUAGAGGGGGGUAGAAUUCCAGGUGUAGCGGUGAAAUGCGUAGAGAUCUGGAGGAAUACCGGUGGCGAAGGCGGCCCCCUGGACAAAGACUGACGCUCAGGUGCGAAAGCGUGGGGAGCAAACAGGAUUAGAUACCCCAGUAGUC